GCACAAUCACGUGGUCUAUUAUGUCACGCCGUAGGUAUCGCGCCGAGCAUUUUUUGUCAACAAAGCGUCGAUUCAAGAAGAAAAUUCGUCGUCCUUUUACUAUCGAACUAGUCGGAAGACUGUUUGCAAUCUGGUAGCAAAUAUGAGCAACGAGCAGAUCCAUACAACGUGCAUUGUACAUUGGAAGACAGGGACCACAACUUUGAUCGCUCAAAGAGAACUAAGGUCUUGUGCAUGAAAAGGGUAGCUAAAGUGAGCCUAGACCAGAAUGCAGUUAAAGGGAAUCCCUUUGUGUUCGAUGGGACAGCAGUGCAAGGCAGAAUGAAAGCAAACUUUUAUCCCUCCGAGUGUUAGAAUUAGACUCGGCAACUGAUGAUACACAGCAUGUUUGCGGGUUAUUUGGCUGCCUUUCGACUAAAAAUUCAAGGGUGCUGACAUAGGACGUUUCUUUCAAAAUUCUAUUUUAGACAUUGUCAUGAGUCAAUAGACCAAGUUUGAAGAAUUUUGUAUGUUGGAAAUUUUAGUUUUUACAGUUAACUCUCGUAAGCCUUUAUAUGGCUAUGUAUCAUGAUGUAGACUGGACUUUGGACUUAGUCAGGUCGUUUAAACAGUUGUAAUACUAACACAUUCCAGAACUUUCAGCUUCAUUUUUAUUAUUUUUAAAGACAUGUAACUUCAUGUAUAAUCAAUCAUACUAAACAAGAUAAAAGUCACACUUAUCAUAUGAUUGUAAAAUAAUGUAUCAUUUCCCGAAAAUUCGUUCCUAUGAAUAUAUGGUUUACAUUUACCUUAUCUCUACAUUGAAAGUAAGAUAUCCUAUUUUCUGAAACAAUAGUUCAUAAUGUGCUAAAAGAACGUUUACAUUUGUGUUUAUAGUAUCUAAAUUAUGUGUAUUAUUUCUGUAAUGAUGGAUUUCGGAUAAAAUUAGACGCUUACACAAGUUUUGCCAAUGACUGUGAAUGUAACAUACGAUAUUAAAAUUUUAUAUUUCGAAACUUCAAAAUAUUUUUUCCAGUAACUGUUCCACAUGUCGAAGCAUAGUUGUAUCAACUGCAAACUGUUUCCUCUGUAAUAUAAUUCCUACAAUUUUAAAGGCUAUGUAUAUAUAGCCACUAUAUUUUUAGCUACUGAAAAAGUGGAAUGAAUUUCCUGAAAAUUCAUUUUAUAUUUACUUUGCAAAAUAAUGCCAGAAUUGUUUAGCAAUUGAUCGUUUUAGCUUGUUUUUCUUAAAGACCCAAAUGUUUAUCUGUAUAUAAAGUGAACAAGGCUUAAUAUAUCAAGAGUACGUUUUCUUUUCUGAAAAUCGAAAGACUUCGUCAAUACUUCUCAAUUGCGUAAUUCUGAGUUUGCAUUAAAAGAAGUAUGACGUCAAUUUGUUUGUUUGUUAAAGAAGGCUGAGUAAAGUAAAUUUCAACCAAUGAAUUCCAUCAUAUAUUGCUUACACGUAUGGACAUUUCCGUUACAAAAAUAUUAUACACCCGGAAAUAAACUGCAGUGAUGGCCUAAAUUGAUAUGCUUAUAUUUAAAUGGCGGCAAAUAGGAGCAUUUUUCUGUUGUUGUUGUUUAUUAUUAUUUUUUUCACAUCACGUAAAAGAUCCAAUCCAGUUUUAGAAGUUUUGAUACCUAUAUGUAUUUUGGCCAUUUUGGGAGGUAGUGCAAGUGCAUGGGUGAUUUUUCAAGCGUGUGUGUGUUCAAGCGUGCUUGUGAGUGGGCGAUGUAUUAGACGGAUUGUUGACGCCUGGACUUAAUGACUACUGCAACAAAACUUAGACUUUGAACUAUAAAAUACUACCUUUAA
rnacentral:lncRNA from 1 species